GGAUCAAUUGAUUGGUCAUGCCUUGGUAUGUACUGGUCAUAUUGGUUCUCACCUUCUAAUGAACCAUAAUGUCAUUUAUUUGAUGUUAUGGGGAAUUAGGACUGUUACCUUGAAAAAAUUAGAGUGUUUAAAACAGGCGUUUGCUUGAAUACAUUAGCAUGGAAUAACGGAAUAGGACUU
rnacentral:rRNA from 1 species